GAGUGACCAGGCUUACUGCCAAGUAGAAGAUUUUGUGCAAGACAUGAGGCUCAUCUUCCGGAAUCACAAAAUCACGUUCAAGGACCCUAAGUUUGGCGAAACGGGACUUAGACUGGAGUCCAAGUUUGAGAAGAGUUUCAAGGAAGUGUUUGCUAUUCAGGAAACAAAUUAAAAGAGUUGACUGAAAUCAGAGACAUGGCUGGUGUCACCUGGCCAUGUCUGGCUCACCUGCAGCAGCAAUGAGUGUUCUUUAUAGACUCUAUCAUUCCCGGAUGAUUACUCUUGGUCAUAUGGAAACAGGUGCAGCUGGGAGUUACACCUCCUGGCCUGGGGAUCCAUCCCCCUUUCUCCCCAUGAAAUCAAGAGUAUGGUGCAUUGCUGCUCUCUGGUCUUCAAGGGUCUAGGCUGGAGCCUGUCUCCAGCUGGCUUUGCUCCACCACCACUCCAACCCCUCCCCCCACAUAUAUGUUGCUUUUCUUGUCUCUUACUCUCCUGAGAGCAAUCCACAAUAAACCAUAAGCUUCCAAAACUUCAAA